rnacentral:rRNA from 1 species
AGUCAACUUACCCUAUGGACGAGGAUAAUCUCGGGAAACUGAGCAUAAUACUCGAUAGAUCAUAAUGCCUGGAAUGGUUUAUGGUUGAAAUGAUUCAUCGCCAUAGGAUGGGACUGCGGCCUAUCAGCUUGUUGGUGAGGUAAUGGCCCACCAAGGCGAUUACAGGUACGGGCUCUGAGAGGAGAAGCCCGGAGAUGGGUACUGAGACAAGGACCCAGGCCCUAUGGGGCGCAGCAGGCGAGAAAACUUUGCAAUGUGCGAAAGCACGACAAGGUUAAUCCGAGUGAUUUCUGCUAAAGAAAUCUCUUGCAAGUCAUAAAACCACUAGUGAAUAAGGGGUGGGCAAGUUCUGGUGUCAGCCGCCGCGGUAAAACCAGCACCUCAAGUGGUCAGGAGGAUUAUUGGGCCUAAAGCAUCCGUAGCCGGCUCUGUAAGUUUUCGGUUAAAUCCAUGUGCUCAACGCAUGGGCUGCCGAAAAUACUGCAUAGCUAGGGAGUGGGAGAGGUAGACGGUACUCGGUAGGAAGGGGUAAAAUCCUUUGAUCUAUCGAUGACCACCUGUGGCGAAGGCGGUCUACCAGAACACGUUCGACGGUGAGGGAUGAAAGCUGGGGGAGCAAACCGGAUUAGAUACCCGGGUAGUCCCAGCUGUAAACGAUGCAGACUCGAUGAUGCAUUGACAUAUAGCCAGUGCAGUGUCGCAGGGAAGCCGUUAAGUCUGCCGCCUGGGAAGUACGUACGCAAGUAUGAAACUUAAAGGAAUUGGCGGGGG